ACCAAAUUUUAUCAAAUAAUCUGACCAAUUUCCAUAUUUUUGACAGAUAUACAGUGGGGUAUGUCUGAAGAAGUGGAAUGAUUCUAUAACAUAAUUUGUAUCAACAUUCCUUCAUUCUGGUAUACAUUGAAAUACUACCUGUUAUAUGUCUUCUACUAGCCUUCAAAUUCAAAACAGUGCCGAGAUCAAAACAAGUGUGAAAAUAGCAGUGAAAUAUUUACACCCAUAUGGCAGCGAUUAGUGUAACCUAGAUUGUUCCACAACAACCCAAACUGAACUGCAGCCCACCACAGUUAAAAUUCAAAUGGAAUAUUCACUCUGUCCUAAGAGGCACUAAAAUACAAGUUAUAUACUCGUAUAUGAGGCGCCUUGAGCUCGAGAGGUGAACACGCCAACAUGGCAGAUUUUGAAUUUUCCCCGGUUUCCGCUAGAUGGAAGCACUAUGCAACCCUCUGUGAAGGUGAAAAUGGGAACUCAGUCUCUAUGGCCCAGUAGAAGGGUGGUGAGAGUAGUGUGUUUUUGCCUGUCUGCAGAGUGUAUGAAGUUAGCUGUAUCAGGGCUCUAAGGGUGAAGAGCACAAGUAAAACACUCAUAAAACACCUAAAUAUGGAAAUUUUGUUUUGUAAUUUAAACUGGCUGUAAGUUACAUCAUGUUCUUGUAAUUUUCUGAGUUUGGAUUAUAUCAGAUAAACAUGAAUUAAUAAAAAAAUACCCUUACGUUUUUUUUUUUUUUUUUUUUUAAAUAACACAAUUUCACACACUCUGAUUCCAUUGAAUUUGUCUAGCUGAAAGCUUUCUAUUGAUGUAUGAUGAUAUUGCUAUGCGUGUUUUUCAUUAUGUUUUUGCUAUGCUUGACUUCGAAGGCUUGUAGCUCAAAACUAGGUAAAUGGCUUGUUCGCCCCUUGAGCACUAGACGCCUCAUAUCUAACCUCCUAAAUGGGGUCUUGACUCAGAAAAUUCAUGUUUCCUUACUAAAGAGUUUCUAUACAACAAAGUGAGGUCAGUCUUUGUUGAUUUAUACCAUAAGGUGCUGACUAUCAUGUGUUUGAAGAUACCCUAAACUUAACCUAACCUAACUUAACAAAACCCCAAACAGUUAUUAUAGGUCUCGACUCAGAAAAUUCAUAUAUGUUUCAUUACUAAUGAGACUUUCUAUACAACAAAGUGAGGUCAGUCUUUGUUGAUUUAUACCAUAAGGUGCUGACUAUCAUGUGUUUGAAGAUACCCUAAACUUAACCUAACCUAACUUAACAAAACCCCAAACAGUUAUUAUAGGUCUCGACUCAAAAAAUUCAUAUAUGUUUCAUUACUAAUGAGACUUUCUAUACAACAAAGUGAGGUCAGUCUUUGUUGAUUUAUACCAUAAGGUGCUGGCUAUCAUGUGUUUGAAGAUACCCUAAACCAGAGCUGGGCACUUCCGAUCAUCAAUCCGAUCGUCCGAUCUGAUCGGAACAGCAAUUGGCGAUCGGAAUGCAAAGAUUGGAUCAUCUUUGUAAAAGGUAAUCGGACUGUGGAGAUCGGAACUUCACAAACUAACUUCCGAUCACUGAUCACAUCAAAAAAAUUGUGGUUAACGUUGUCAUGGCAACAACUGACUGCAGACAUUUUGAAACCUUACUAAUCACUUCUUACAAUUAUUUUUUAUACAAGUUGCAAAAUAGUUUCUUCAAUAAGUGUAUUUAUUUAUAAUAUUAAGCGAUAAUUAUUGAUCGUUGAUUUAUUUAAUAAUGAUAAGGUAUCGUGAACGAAACGCACAGGCGCAAAGUCGCUUUAUUUACUUGGCGCUCACUCCAUUAAUUAACCCAGUUAAACCGACUAACCGCUGUACCUGGUGAGGGACUAACGCAUUUUUAUAUAAUCUAAGGCUUUACCUUCUAACGAGUAAUUCAUGUAUGUGAAUAUGACUAGGCUAUAUGUUACUAUAGUGACGUAAUCUAUCGACUCGAAAGCUGUGUCCACACGAGGCCACUCUUGCACCACCUUGCCAGUCAUUGUUAUUCUUGUAAUGUUUAUUUUUCACCUGCCAGAUGCAGGGGUGCUGUUUCAGAAUAUCAAUCAUCAUAUGAGCGUUGCCCCGAGUUCACACAACGUUGUCCUCAAUGUUUUCAGCUUUGAUCUGAGAGCAGCACGCAGCUGAUGUUGCCACAUUCACGCCUCCUGCCCCAAAAAUACCUCUCGCCAGAAUGGACAUGUUUCUGGUCAACAUAUUUAUUUCAAAUUCUGUCUGUAUGGAUAAAAUUGGCCCUAAAUUCAGCUAUGGUGCUAUUUUUUCUUCAUGUAAAAUAGUAAAUGUGGUAUAAAAUAUGGAUUAAAGUUGAGGAAAAAUCACGUGACCUGGAAACGGGUGCUGAUUGGUUGUGACGUCACGAUGCAGUCAGCAGGCUGCCAACUUUGUGUUACUCCGAGAUUUCAUGUUGUGGUGUGUUUCUAGUGGCUAGCAUUGCCUGGAGACGUAACCCGCAGUCGUUGGUGAUUUGUGCAAUGUGCA